AAUACGUAGGGUGCGAGCGUUGUCCGGAAUUAUUGGGCGUAAAGGGCUCGUAGGCGGUCCGUCACGUCGGGAGUGAAAACUCGGGGCUCAACCCCGAGCCUGCUUCCGAUACGGGCAGACUAGAGGUAUGCAGGGGAGAAUGGAAUUCCUGGUGUAGCGGUGAAAUGCGCAGAUAUCAGGGGGAACACCGGUGGCGAAAGCGGUUCUCUGGGCAUUACCUGACGCUGAGGAGCGAAAGUGUGGGGAGCGAACAGGA
rnacentral:rRNA from 1 species